rnacentral:misc_RNA from 1 species
CUAAGGAGCACCACGAGAACCUGGCCCGCCCAUAUCGUGUGGGAGUUCGGUGACCUUGGUCGAUUCGUUGGAUGGCCUUCGCCUGUAGUGGGUGGGGGUCUGGUGCAACAACAAACAAACUUUAUGACCGCCAGACACACUAUUGGGCUUUGAGACAACAGGCCCAGCGGGACCUUCGCUCUACGGAGAAGGG